rnacentral:rRNA from 1 species
AUUGAACGCUGGCGGCAGGCCUAACACAUGCAAGUCGAGCGGAUGAAGAGAGCUUGCUCUCUGAUUUAGCGGCGGACGGGUGAGUAAUGCCUAGGAAUCUGCCUGGUAGUGGGGGAUAACGUUCCGAAAGGAACGCUAAUACCGCAUACGUCCUACGGGAGAAAGCAGGGGACCUUCGGGCCUUGCGCUAUCAGAUGAGCCUAGGUCGGAUUAGCUAGUUGGUGAGGUAAUGGCUCACCAAGGCUACGAUCCGUAACUGGUCUGAGAGGAUGAUCAGUCACACUGGAACUGAGACACGGUCCAGACUCCUACGGGAGGCAGCAGUGGGGAAUAUUGGACAAUGGGCGAAAGCCUGAUCCAGCCAUGCCGCGUGUGUGAAGAAGGUCUUCGGAUUGUAAAGCACUUUAAGUUGGGAGGAAGGGCAGUAAGUUAAUACCUUGCUGUUUUGACGUUACCGACAGAAUAAGCACCGGCUAACUUCGUGCUAGCAGCCGCCGUAAGAC